UACAGAGGGUGCGAGCGUUGUCCGGAAUUACUGGGCGUAAAGGGCUCGUAGGCGGCCAACUAAGUCAGACGUGAAAUCCCCAGGCUCAACCUGGGAACUGCGUCUGAUACUGGAUGGCUUGAAUCCGGGAGAGGGAUGCAGAAUUCCAGGUGUAGCGGUGAAAUGCGUAGAUAUCUGGAGGAAUACCGGUGGCGAAGGCGGCAUCCUGGACCGGCAUUGACGCUGAGGAGCGAAAGCCAGGGGAGCAAACGGG
rnacentral:rRNA from 1 species